AUUGAACGCUGGCGGCAGGCCUAACACAUGCAAGUCGAGCGGAUGAAGGGAGCUUGCUCCUGGAUUCAGCGGCGGACGGGUGAGUAAUGCCUAGGAAUCUGCCUGGUAGUGGGGGAUAACGUCCGGAAACGGGCGCUAAUACCGCGUACGUCCUGAGGGAGAAAGUGGGGGAUCUUCGGACCUCACGCUAUCAGAUGAGCCUAGGUCGGAUUAGCUAGUUGGUGGGGUAAAGGCCUGCCAAGGCGACGAUCCGUAACUGGUCUGAGAGGAUGAUCAGUCACACUGGAACUGAGACACGGUCCAGACUCCUACGGGAGGCAGCAGUGGGGAAUAUUGGACAAUGGGCGAAAGCCUGAUCCAGCCAUGCCGCGUGUGUGAAGAAGGUCUUCGGAUUGUAAAGCACUUUAAGUUGGGAGGAAGGGCAGUAAGUUAAUACCUUGCUGUUUUGACGUUACCAACAGAAUAAGCACCGGCUAACUUCGUG
rnacentral:rRNA from 1 species